GUUUAUACCAGGAGAUGCUGGAGCAGAGCAACCUGGACCAUCAGAGACUCGUCUCAUCCCAGCUUCUGUCUGUUUGAGCUGCUGAAAUCAGAUCAAUCCAAUGGAAUUCAAGAUAAUUGUAGGGAUCGUGAAUGAGAAUCAUCACUGGAUGUUAACAGGCAUUCCUGCUCAGCAAAGGCUGCAGUCUUCCAAGGUGGACCUGCAGUUCUCUCCCUCACAAACGUCAGAAAGGCAGCACAUCUUGUGGAGUCUUGGCUUUGAAAGCAAGUGUUGAAUAGUUGUUUCCAUGGACACUUUGUA